rnacentral:rRNA from 2 species
CUGUGAUGCCCUUAGUUAUCCUAGGUCGCACGCGCCAUACAAUGUGGCGCACAACGAGUUUCCUAGGCCGAUAGGAUUUAAGAGACACUGGGCAAUCUGAGAGAGCGCUACGUGACUGGGCUAGACUUUUGUAAUUGUUGGUCUUGAACGAGGAAUGCCUAGUAAUCGUAGGUCAUUAUCCUGCGAUGAUUAUGUCCCUGCCCUUUGUACACACCGCCCGUCGCUCCUGCCGUGGCUCGUGCCGGUGAAGAGGGGGAGGCAGCGUCAACGGAGCAACAUCUGAUUGUACGUGGAGCCCCUCUGAACCUUCGCGAGUAGAGGAAGGAGAAGUCGUAACAAGGUUUUCGUAGGUGAACCUGCGAAAGGAUCAUUA